GACGAACGCUGGCGGCGUGCUUAACACAUGCAAGUCGAACGGAAAGGCCUGCUUUCCCUUGUGGAUUGCGGGUACUCGAGUGGCGAACGGGUGAGUAACACGUGAGUGAUCUGUCCCCAACUUGGGAAUAAGCCUGGGAAACUGGGUCUAAUUCCCGAUAGGACUGGAGGGUGGUGCCUGUGGUGGGAAACGAUUUUCUAGUGGUUGGGGAUGAGCUAGCGGCCUAUCAGCUUGGUGGUGGGGUAAUGGGCUACCAAGGCGGCGACGGGUAGCCGGCCUGAGAGCGUGGACAGCCGCAUUGGGACUGAGAUACGGCCCAGACUCCUACGGGAAGCAGCAGUUGGGAGUAUUGCACCGUGAGCGGGAGCCUGAUGCAGCGACGCCGCGUGGGGGAUGACGGCCUUCGGGUUGUAAACUCCUUUCGACCGAGAGGAAGCCACCUGGUUGGAAGGGUGGUGACGGUAGUGGUAGAAGAAGCACCGGCUAACUACGUG
rnacentral:rRNA from 1 species